GGUGCAGAGCUCCAGCAACAAGGACCGGCUAGCUGGACGGCAACCCUUCAUGCCGAUGGGGUGCCCCGGAAUCACACCUGGCGAUACGCGCGGUGCGUGUCGCAAGCGGCAGUC
rnacentral:ncRNA from 2 species